rnacentral:rRNA from 1 species
AUUGAACGCUGGCGGCAUGCCUUACACAUGCAAGUCGAACGGCAGCGGGGACUUCGGUCCGCCGGCGAGUGGCGAACGGGUGAGUACUGUAUCGGAACGUACCUUUCAGUGGGGGAUAACGUAGCGAAAGUUACGCUAAUACCGCAUAUUCUCUGAGGAGGAAAGCAGGGGACCUUCGGGCCUCGCGCUGAUGGAGCGGCCGAUAUCAGAUUAGCUAGUUGGUGGGGUAAAGGCUCACCAAGGCUACGAUCUGUAGCGGGUCUGAGAGGAUGAUCCGCCACACUGGGACUGAGACACGGCCCAGACUCCUACGGGAGGCAGCAGUGGGGAAUUUUGGACAAUGGGCGAAAGCCUGAUCCAGCCAUGCCGCGUGAGUGAAGAAGGCCUUCGGGUUGUAAAGCUCUUUCGGACGGGAAGAAAUCAUGAGGGCUAAUAUCCCUUGUGGAUGACGGUACCGUAAUAAGAAGCACCGGCUAACUACGUGCCAGCCGCCGCCGUAAAAC